AUGUGGCAUGAGACUAGGCAGAUGGCCCCAGACGCUUCUUCCCUGACAAGGAUGCUUCAGGCUUAUCAUCGACACAACUUGGAACAAAGUGAACCAGAUGAGAAAAUGAAGUGUAUGGCGGUAACCUUGACUCCCAUGCGACUAGCCAAAAAUCUCCCUUCGGUGGAACAGUAUGGCCUGCUUCUGCUAGCGAGUCCCCAAAUACCAGUUUGGGUAGACUACUAUUUGGAGAGCUACGAGAGGGAGCGGCAGGAGACAAGAGGUAGUGAGGGCCGAGGUGUACCGGACGGCCUUGAUCCAAAAGCUCAUUUGGAUGGGUGCCAAACCUGGAGAUGUUCAUCUUCAUUGUGA
rnacentral:rRNA from 1 species